UCAGCACCCUCUGGCGGCUAAGGUCACAAGAGUCUACGUGGCUCUCCAAACCGCCGUAAGAAAGACGCUGAAGUGCACGCGACUUUACGACACUUCGUAGAGCGAAAAUGAUAAACAAAAUUGAGAUGAUAAACUUAAGUGAAGUUUUCGAAACUUUUUAAAAAAGAAGAAUUGAAAUUGAUGGGUGGAAUUAACAAAUCAAGACACUACUCAGAUCCGACAGGCAGGGGAGACUUACAGCGACAAACGAAGAGGCACCACGUUAGAAGACACCGCAGGGACAACGACAACUGCGUUAGGAAGCCAAAGGUCCCUCUCGGCGUCCACUACCGCAGGAGGUCAUUUGGGGCUGGAGGGCAACCCUGCCGUAGCCACUGGGCAUGCGGCGGAUUCGGCGCAAGCGCACAGUGGCUGCUUCGAUAGCCCGCCGGAUGCGAUCCGCAGGAGGGAUCCUUGGCUCCGUGUUUUCCUCAAGCUCUCCGUAGGUGCUGGUCACCCGGCGUGCAGCGGCUACUGCAGGAACACGGAGUGGCUGAAGAAGUGUGUGGAGGACAACCUGGUGAGGUCGAGAAGGAGGCCCACACUGAGGAAAAGCUCAAGCUGGAGAUUGUGUAGGUCCAGAGCAAGGGCCAAGCAGAGGCCUUGGCCUUCCAGGGAAGCCUGAGGAAGACGUAGAUGCAGAUCCAGUCUCUGAAGAUGACCUUGAAGCAGAAGGUGACGCAGAAUGACAAACUGACUGGAAUCCAUGAUGACCUCAUCUCCAAGACUGACAAGAACUGACAGCCGGCUCUCCUGAGCCUUCUCUCGCUACCUGCUUUUUAAGCUAGAGUCUUGUUAAAAGACUAAAUAAAAUUUCCCUUAGGUUGAAAAGAAAAAGCUUUCUCUAUUUUUUUCCUUCUAUUUUGUCAAAAAUAUGGCACUUUUAAUUUUUUUAUUUAUGUAAACAUCUAUUCUGAAUAUUGUGUUUUACAAUCAGGAUGGCCAUUCCCAAAAGGUAUUUUUUACAAUGAAGUAGUAACAGUUUUGAAGUGUUAAGA